GCCAGCGGCCAUACUGCGUCGAAUACACCGGAUCCCAUCCGAACUCCGAAGUUAAGCGCGCAAGCCCGGAUAGUACUGGGGUGGGGACCGCCCGG
rnacentral:rRNA from 1 species